UGCAUCGGACGGGAAUCGAACCCGGGCCGCCCACGUGGCAGCGAGCAUUCUACCACUGAACCACCGAUGG
rnacentral:tRNA from 1 species